GUAGAUGCUCAUUCUAUUAUCUUAUGUUCGCCUUACGGCCUCAUAAACCCAGGAAUGAUGCAGAGCCAAUUUUAGGGUGCCUAUUGUCCACCAGAACGAUGAAAGCGAUGGCUUCAUCACACUUCGGGCAUAACGUUGAGUGAGGCACCUCCCCUGUUGUUCUAGACCUGAUUGCUUUUUUAAUACACUUGCCAAUAUGGCAAGUGUUUUUUU
rnacentral:sRNA from 1 species